GCGUGUGUGACGGCCCAGAUACAAGAUGUUUUCACUGACAUGUCUGCUCUGUGUCUUUUAUCUUUGUAUAGAAGCUUCUUAUGGACAGUUUGUACUGGAUCAGACUCCGGAAUCUAUCUCAGUGUUUCCCGGAGAGAACGCAGUGAUAUAUUGUAAGUCAAGAUCUACUGUUACUGCGGACUCAAUCAGUUACAUACACUGGUACCAGAAGAAAGGAGAUCAGCCUCCAACACUUCUUAUCUAUCUAGCAAUGAAUCGUCAGUCUGGAGUCCCGGAGAGGUUCAGCGGCAGUAGAUCCGGAUCUCAGUAUCACGAUUUCACUCUUACAAUCAGUGGAGCACAACUGGAAGACGCAGCCAACUAUUACUGUAGUCAAAGUGGUUAUAACACUCCAUACACACAGUGAUACCGAGCCGUACAAAAACCUCCUUCCUCUGUACUGAGGAGACUUCUGUUUGCACCUCCUAUGUUUAUUUGUCUUUGUGCAGAAAGUGUUUUAUUGAAAUUAUAACAUUUUAAGAUACUA